AUGCCUUCCCUCAGUCCCUUGGUGCCUUCCCUUAGUCCCCCUAAGCCCCCAGGGUGCCUUCCCUCAGCCCCUUCCCUCAGCCCCAUCCCUUCAGCAUCUUUCUUCAGCCCUUCCCUCAGCCCCCCACAGCCAUCCCUGAGCCCCUUGGUGCCUUCCCUCAGCUCCUUCCCUCAGCGCCCUUCACAGCCCCUUCCUUCAGCCCCAUCCCUGAUGCCUUCAGACCUUUUCUUCAGCCCUUCUCUCAGCCCCUUGCCCCUCGGUCCUCACCUCACAUCCCAGGGCCUCUCCCUCACCUCAGUCCUUCCCUCAUGCCCUCAGCACCAUUCUUUGGCCCUUGGUGCCUUCUCUGGUCACUCUCUUCAGGCCCACCCCUCAGGGCUUUCCCCCAUCCUUUCAGCGCUUAUCUUCAGCCCUUUCCUCAGCCCCUCCUUUCACCCCUCAGCACCCUCCUUGGUCCUCUCGUCCCUUCACAAAGUCAGAAUGGCCGAGGUUGGAAGGGACCUCAGAAGAUCAUCCAGUCCAAACUCCUGCCGAACAGGAGCACCUAGAGCACGUUGUGCAGGAUGGCGCCCGAGGCGGGUUUUGAGUAUUUCCAGAGAAGGAGAUACCUAUGAGCAACCCGUCCCAGUGCUCUGCUACCCCCCCAGUAAAGAAGUGCCCCCUCACAUUGAGCCAGAACCCCUGUGCUUCAAUUUGUGCCCAUUGCCUCUCAUCCUGUCACUGGGCACAACUGAAAAGAGACUGGCUCCAUCCUAUCAACACCGUCCCCUAAUAUAUUUAUAUACAUUAAUGAGAUCUCCCCUCAGUCUUCUCUUUUCCAGGCUAAACAGGCCCAGCUCUCUCAGCCUGUCCUUGUAUGACGGGUGCUCCAGUCCUUUAAUCAUCCCCAUAGCCCUCCUCUGGACUCAUUCCAGUAGCUCCAUAUCCCUCUUGUACUGGGGAGCCCCAAACUGGACCCAGUGCUCCAGAUGGGGACUUCUCUCAUCUCUCCCUUCAUCCCCUCAGCCCUAUCCCCACUGUCCCCUGUCCCCAUGCCCCCAGGUCCCCAGGUGGCCCUGGUCCCCACUCCGCAAUGUCCCCAGGGCAGGGUCCCCAUGCAGUGGGGUUGCUCGUUUGCCCCGUUUCCACAGGAUUUUCCCCAGCGUGUUUCAAAGGGCCUGCUCACCAGGCACUCGUGGAUUUAGUUCCUCUUGA
rnacentral:lncRNA from 1 species